UUCCAGACUCCUACGGGAGGCAGCAGUGGGGAAUAUUGCACAAUGGGGGAAACCCUGAUGCAGCAACGCCGCGUGAGUUAAGAAGUCAUUCGUGAUGUAAAGCUCUAUCAGCAGGGAAGAAAAUGACGGUACCUGAGUAAGAAGCACCGGCUAAAUACGUGCCAGCAGCCGCGGUAAUACGUAUGGUGCAAGCGUUAUCCGGAUUUACUGGGUGUAAAGGGAGCGCAGGCGGCACGGCAAGCCUGAUGUGAAAGCCCGCGGCCCAACCGCGGGACUGCAUUGGGAACUACCGGGAUGGAGUGACGGAGAGGUAGGCGGAAUUCCUAGUGUAGCGGUGAAAUGCGUAGAUAUUAGGAGGAACACCAGUGGAGAAGGAGGCCUACUGGAAGGUGACUGACGCUGAGGAUAGAAAGCGUGGGGAGCAAACAGGAUUAGAUACCCGAGUAGC
rnacentral:rRNA from 1 species